rnacentral:rRNA from 1 species
CACCGCGGAAGAUUUAGUGGCGAACGGGUGAGGAACACGUGAGGAACCUGCCCCAAACUUUGGGAUAACAGUUGGAAACGACUGCUAAUACCAGAUGCCGUUACUUUGUCGCAUGGCGAGGUAACGAAAGUUUUUCGGUUUGGGAGGGCCUCGCGGCCUAUCAGCUUGUUGGUGAGGUAAUGGCUCACCAAGGCAACGACGGGUAGCUGGUCUGAGAGGAUGAUCAGCCACACUGGGACUGAGACACGGCCCAGACUCCUACGGGAGGCAGCAGUGGGGAAUCUUGCGCAAUGGGCGAAAGCCUGACGCAGCAACGCCGCGUGCGGGAAGAAGGCCUUAGGGUUGUAAACCGCUUUCAACAGGGAAGAAAAUGACUGUACCUGCAGAAGAAGGUGCGGCCAACUACGUGCCAGCAGCCGCGGUGACACGUAGGCACCAAGCGUUGUCCGGAUUUAUUGGGCGUAAAGAGCUCGUAGGCGGUUCAGUUAGUUGGGUGUGAAAACUCCGGGCUUAACCCGGAGCCGCCACCCAAUACUGCUGUGACUAGAGUUCGGUAGGGGAGCGGGGAAUUCCUAGUGUAGCGGUGAAAUGCGCAGAUAUUAGGAGGAACACCGGUGGCGAAGGCGCCGCUCUGGGCCGAAACUGACGCUGAGGAGCGAAAGCAUGGGUAGCAAACAGGAUUAGAUACCCUGGUAGUCCAUGCCGUAAACGUUGGGCACUAGGUGUGGGCUUCAUCCAACGAAGUCCGCGCCGUCGCUAACGC